UACGUAGGGUGCGAGCGUUAAUCGGAAUUACUGGGCGUAAAGCGUGCGCAGGCGGUUCGUUGUGUCGGCGGUGAAAGCCCCGGGCUCAACCUGGGAAUGGCCGUUGAAACUGGCGAACUGGAGUGUGGCAGAGGGGGGUGGAAUUCCACGUGUAGCAGUGAAAUGCGUAGAGAUGUGGAGGAACACCAAUGGCGAAGGCAGCCCCCUGGGAUGACACUGACGCUCAUGCACGAAAGCGUGGGGAGCAAACAGG
rnacentral:rRNA from 1 species